rnacentral:rRNA from 1 species
UACGUAGGGCGCAAGCGUUAUCCGGAAUUAUUGGGCGUAAAGAGCUCGUAGGCGGUUUGUCGCGUCUGCCGUGAAAGUCCGGGGCUCAACUCCGGAUCUGCGGUGGGUACGGGCAGACUAGAGUGAUGUAGGGGAGACUGGAAUUCCUGGUGUAGCGGUGAAAUGCGUAGAUAUCAGGAGGAAUACCUAUGGCGAAAGCAGGUCUCUGGGCCACAACUGACGCUGAGCUGCGAAAGCUAGGGGAGCAAACAGG